rnacentral:rRNA from 1 species
AGUCUGAACGCUGGCGGCGUGGCUAAGACAUGCAAGUCGAACGGUGUAGCAAUACACAGUGGCGGACGGGUGAGUAAUGAAUCGCUAAUGUACCCCGAUGUCUGGGAUAGCCAUCCGAAAGGAUGGGUAAUACCAGAUGAGACCACAGAACCGCAUGGUUCGGUGCUCAAAGGGUCACCGCAUUGGGCGCAGGCGAUUUCGAUCAGCUAGUUGGUGAGGUAACGGCUCACCAAGGCGACGACGCGUAGCCGGGCUGAGAGGUCGGCCGGCCACAUUGGGACUGAGACACUGCCCAGACUCCGUACGGGGGGCUGCAGUAACGAAGUCUUCCGCAAUGCAACGAAGUGUGACGGAGCGACGCCGCGUGUAGGAUGAACGUCCGUUACGGAUAGUAACUACUAGUACGAAGGGAAAGAAGUUC